UACGUAGGGCGCAAGCGUUAUCCGGAAUUAUUGGGCGUAAAGAGCUCGUAGGCGGUUUGUCGCGUCUGCUGUGAAAGACCGGGGCUCAACUCCGGUUCUGCAGUGGGUACGGGCAGACUAGAGUGCAGUAGGGGAGACUGGAAUUCCUGGUGUAGCGGUGAAAUGCGCAGAUAUCAGGAGGAACACCGGUGGCGAAGGCGGAUCUCUGGGCCGAUACUGACGCUGAGGAGCGAAAGCGUGGGGAGCGAACAGG
rnacentral:rRNA from 1 species